rnacentral:sRNA from 2 species
CCCAGAGGUAUUGAUUGGUGAUGUGAGGAUCUUCCCGCCGGAAGAUCGACCAACAAUUACACCGACCUACGCGGAUGCGUAGGUUUUUUUU